CGCGACGUGCUCGCCCCAUAAAUGCGGUGGAGCUGAAAGUAGGAACACUUCGGCCCGGGGCGUCAGGGGUUUGGACGUUUGGCUGUGUCGCGCCCCGCGACAGAGCCCGCCCCUGCUUCUCGCUGUGCCAUGGCGGACGAGGGGAAGUCGUACAACGAGCACUAUGAUCGAGUUACUUUCCCUCAAAGAAGAAAGAAAGGCCGGGGCCCUUUCCGGUGGAAGUAUGGCGAGGGGAACCGGAGGUCUGGACGAGGGGGUUCUGGCAUUCGGUCUUCCCGCCUUGAGGAAGAUGACAGAGACGUGGCAAUGAGUGACGCCCAGGAUACUCCCCGAGUACGAUACAACCCCUAUAGCGCACGACCCAACCGUCGGGGUGAAAGCUGGCAUGAUCGAGACCGCAUUCACGUCACUGUGCGGAGUGAUAGAGCUCCUCCAGAGAAGGGAGGGGCCGGCACCAGCCUCGACGGGACCUCAAAGAACUGGUUUAAGAUUACAAUUCCCUAUGGCAGGAAAUACGACAAGUCAUGGCUCUUGAACAUGAUUCAGAGCAAGUGCAGUGUCCCUUUCACUCCCAUUGAGUUUCACUAUGAAAACACACGGGCCCAGUUUUUUGUUGAGGACGCCAGUACCGCCUCUGCAUUAAAGGCUGUCAACUAUAAGAUUUUGGAUCGGGAGAACCGCAGGAUAUCUAUCAUCAUCAACUCCUCUCCUCCGCCCCACAGUGUGCAGAACGAACUGAAGCCAGAACAAGUAGAGCAGCUCAAGCUUAUCAUGAGUAAACGAUACGAUGGCUCCCAACAAGCACUUGACCUCAAGGCCCUCCGUUCAGACCCAGAUUUGGUGGCACAGAACAUUGAUGUUGUCUUAAAUCGUCGAAGCUGUAUGGCAGCAACCCUGCGAAUCAUCGAAGAGAACAUCCCUGAGCUAUUGUCCUUAAACUUGAGCAAUAACAAGCUGUACAGACUGGAUGACCUGUCCAGCAUUGUGCAGAAAGCACCCAAUCUAAAGAUCCUGAAUCUCUCUGGAAAUGAGCUAAAGUCCGAGCGGGAGUUGGACAAGAUAAAAGGGCUGAAGCUGGAAGAGCUGUGGCUCGACGGAAACACCCUGUGCGACACCUUCCGAGACCAGUCCACCUACAUCAGGUCAGUUGUAGCCUCUGUCUCCCCUCCUGGGGACCUUCACCCCCUGGGAGGCUGAGCUGAUGCACCCUGACCAGUGCCCGUCUGCAGGAGAUGUGCAGCCCUGAGCUGGAACCACCUGUCCUUGGGGAGGAUCACGUGCUCUUCCCUUUCGUCUGUCGUGUCACCCAGCUUUGCCCCACAUCUCCUUUCUUUCCUCACCUGACUGCCUGGUUGCUGGUUCUGUGGCCUUUUUCCUUCCUUCCUGAACACAGCCUUUUCUAGAAUCUCCCAACCCUUUUGUUCCAAGAAGAGCAUCUCCCCUUUUUUACCAUGGCUAAGGGGUAUCCCUAUACAUGGAGUUGCCUUGAGCCAAGAGCCUGGUUCCACGGGGCGGAGAAAGCCCUCCCUCCCUGGGAAUUCAUGCUGAUGGGCCUUCCCUCCUCUGUCCGAUGAUGGCCCCGCUUGUCCUUUUGUCAAGAGGGGCUCUCUUCUCACAGUCUGCUUGUCCAAGGCUGUUGCCCAGGCUUUCCUGCCCGUGCUGAGGUUGAGGCCUCCUGGUGGCUGGUGCCAUGCAGUCUGUCUCUCUCACCCAGUGCUGUGAGCUGGGCCCUCCAAAACCUGGGUUCCCUGAGACAUGUGACCAGAGCCGGGGCCCCGCCAGUAGGCGAGGGAAUCCCAAGGCAGGUGCUGGGCGUGGAGGCCAUGGGGGCAUAGGCUACCAAGGAGACAGAGAACUGACCCUCUCUGGGGGCGCUGCUCCUCCCUCACUCGCACACCUCACAUCACCCUGCUUGGCCCCGGAGGAUGGCUGGUUAGCCAGAGACGGGUAAGAUUCCUCAGGGAAGGAACAACCUAAGACAGGCACAGUCGCAGAGGGGCCAUCAGGAGAGAACUUGGGGGCCAACAGAGGUGGGGCACAGACCCUCACCCCCCCAACUUUGCAGGGGCCUGAACCCUCACCCCUUCUGAGGGAGGUCUCCUGCCCCCAUGGCUGCUUUGCUUCCCACGCCCAGCUCAGAUCGGGACCCAGGUAGCAGACAGACCUGGCCGGCAGCAACUGCCCUCUCACCACAGUAAGGAUGUUUCCUGUCGCUGCCUUGGAGCACGGGGAAAGGGCAGCCGAAAGGAAGGGCUGUGUCAGGUGCCUUCUUCCCUUUGUUCUCCCUCUUCCUUCUAAAUGCCUCUUUGCCUUGUAGUGCUUUCGCCUUUUCUUUGCUUUCUCUUUCCUUUUUCUCUCUACUCGCCUGCAUCUCCCUCAUCUCUCCUGUGCCUCCUCCUCUCCUACCUCUUCUCUCUUUCUCAUCUCCUUUCCUUCCCUCUCGUCUUCCUGCCCUCCCUUGCCUCCCGAACCCUGCCUUGCUUGUCUCCCUGCCCCAACAUCCUGUGCCAUCCCUGUGGUGUGUUCUGGUCUUGGCCACGGCCAGACCUGGCAGAAGUGAUGGAUACCUGUUGAGGCAGCGGAGCCCCUGGGCUCCCACCCCAUUCCCUCUUCCCGGGGCUGCACAGCGCCAUUCGUGAACGAUUUCCC